rnacentral:tRNA from 1 species
GAGAGUACAGCUCAAGUGGCAGAGCACAUGCUUAGCAUGCGGGAGGUCCUGGGUUCAAUCCCCAGUACCUUCA